GCCGCGCGCGCGCCGCUUCGUGCCGAUGUUCGUCGCGUCGCUGUCGUUGGCCGCUGCCGGCCUCGGCGCGUGCGGCAGCGCGCGCGCGGCG
rnacentral:tRNA from 1 species